rnacentral:rRNA from 1 species
UGAGGAACAUGACCUUCGGCGGGGAUAGCCGGCCCAACGGCCGGGUAAUACCGCGUACGACCACAUGGGGACAUCCCUGAGUGGUGAAAGCAGCAAUGCGCCGAUGGAGUGCCUCGCGGCCUAUCAGCUAGUUGGUGAGGUAACGGCUCACCAAGGCGACGACGGGUAGCUGGUCUGGAGAGGAUGGCCAGCCACAUUGGGACUGAGAUACCGGCCCAGACCUNACGGGAG